rnacentral:sRNA from 1 species
AAAGCUGUGCCCAUUUCAGGCUGCAGCUGCCGGCAGCAGGAACUUCUGCUGCUUUCAUUUGAGACGGAGCACUGACAAGCUCUCCAGAGCACAUGGUCUUCAGCGGGUACAGGCAAAUCUCAAACUGCUGAUGUCCAUUCUCCUGCUGUUACCUCCAGGCUCAAAUGAGGCAUGGGCUGGCUGUCCCAUCGGUCUUGGCAGCUGUCGUAAUUGCCAACCUGAAAGGGAUGUUUAUGCAGGUGUGUGACAUUCCUCGUCUGUGGAGGCAGAAUAAGAUUGAUGCUGUUAUCUGGGUGUUUACGUGUAUAGUGUCCAUCAUUCUGGGGCUGGAUCUCGGUUUACUAGCUGGCCUUAUAUUUGGACUAUUGACUGUGGUCCUGAGAGUUCAGUUUCCUUCUUGGAAUGGCCUUGGAAGCAUCCCUAGCACAGAUAUCUACAAAAGUACCAAGAAUUACAAAAAUAUUGAAGAACCUCGAGGAGUGAAGAUUCUUAGAUUUUCCAGUCCUAUUUUCUAUGGCAAUGUUGAUGGUUUUAAAAAAUGUAUCAAGUCCACA